CAGGAAAGUGCCUCGCUGGCACGCCAUCACUCCUCGAGUAAACUCUAUGAAAUCCUCUUGCUUUAGGCCAGGUGUGUGGCUUCACUGACCUCCGCCUGUGGGAUCAGUGAGCCCACAGGAGAGCUGACUCCUAAUAAACCUGCCUUUAUCUAUUUUUAAUCUGUUCUAAUCUGUCGCAGAGGGAGAGAAAGGGUCUAUCACUCAUCCUUCAGAAGUGCAUGUGGGUUUCAGGAUGAGUAGCUGAUGAAAUGUUUCUGGGUCAAAGGCGUAUGUGUUCUGCAUUGUGAAGAUGAGGAACAUGGAAGUAUUUGGGGGACAGGAGAGUCCUCCUCCGUAGAUGCAGGAUAGUUUGGGUUAAGAUGGAAAGAUGAAACUUGGCCUUGGAGUCAAAAGGCAGGAGAGGCUUUGGGUCCCUAAUCUACAAGCUCAGCAGGGGCGGGGCUUCAAAGCAGGCCCUGAGUGAGGAGGCUUUGCUUUCAACAUGGACUCCCACCCUAUCUCUUUCCACAGAUGGCAAGAUGGUCAGGAUAAGCACAUGGAAUCUAGCCCAAAGUCGUCUGGCCGUGGGUCAGUCUGGGCCUAGAGGACCCAGGAGUCCAGACACCUGGAGUUUGGAGAGGUAAGCCACUUGGUGGCGCUGUGAGCAUGAAAAGCGGGCUCUGUAGCCAAUAAGCCUUUUGCAAGACUGGAGGUGUGACUUGGAGACUGUCUAAGGGGCAAUGUAAAAAGCUCAGCCUACAUCCGGACCCCGGCUGGAAACAAAUACGGACAUAGAGAGGUCCUGCGAGACACCAGGAGGCAGACAAGGCAGGGAUGACGACUGUCUGUCUUGUGACCAGGAAACGGGGUUAUGAGACCUAUUCAGCUUUCUUUGACUCCGCGCUGUUUGGUUAGGAAAGGGCAUAUGUGUGCAGAGAACAAACAAUACAGGGGAAGGGAGUCUACAGAGAGCUGCUGAACUCUAGCUGCCCCCAACAGACCUCCGGUAAAGGAAAAGGAAGACGCGAAAAGUGACCCACAGCUGGGAAACCUACAGGUCAAAACUCGGAGUAGGGCCUGGGGCAGGAUGGGGGUGGAGGUGGAGGUGGGAGUGGAACACACCUUAAAAUCCCAGCACUAGGAAGGCAGAGGCAGUCUGAUCUUCAUGAGUUCAAGUCUAUCCUAGGCCAUAGGGCAAGUUCCAGAACAGCCAGAGCUACACAGAGAAACCCAGUCUUGAAACAAACAAACAAACAAAUAACAACAACAACAACAAUAAAAUAGAGCCUGUUAGGAAGGGCUGAGGACAAGGCCUUGAUUGAGCAUAGCUGUUCUCCAACUUCUCAGAACCCCGUGCCUGAUAACUGUGUCAUAGUAGGGUGACAAUGAAUGACAAUAAUAGACCAUAGGUUUCAAAAAGGUGAGAAACAAGGUUACACAGGGUCUCUCUGUGUAGCCUUGGAACUCACUAUGUACACCCAGGCUGGCCUCAAACUCAGAGACUGCUUCCGCCUCCCGAGCUCUGAGAUUAGAGGUGUGCACCACCACACCCUGCCUAAGGGCUGGAGUUAGGUCCCUUGCCCAGCACUGAAGAGUUGUCAAGCCCCAGUCAGAUGGCUCUCAGCCAUCUGCAACUCCAACGCCAGGGGUAUCUGAUGCCCCCUUCUGGCCUCCUUGGGAACUGCAUUCACAGAGCAGCAUAAAAUAUAUUUAAAAAUUGGUAUCUCUGAGAGAGAGAGAGAGAUGGAGUUUGGUCGAGUGGGUGGGUAGGUAGCUGGCCAGGGACACCCAGGGAAUCUUAUCUCCACCUUCCCGGACUGGGGUUACAAUCACCACCAUCACACUCAGCUUUUCCACUUGAGUCCUGGGGAUCAAACUCAAAUCUUCAUGUCUAUGCAACAUCCUCACUUCACCUACUGAACUAUCUCCGCAGCCCUAGUUAAAAUUAUUAACUGGUACAUAAAGGCAUACAAUUGUGCAUGUUAAGGAAAUAAUGUGUGAUAUUUU
rnacentral:lncRNA from 1 species